GACUCUCGGCAAUGGAUAUCUCGGCUCUUGCAUCGAUGAAGAGCGCAGCGAAAUGCGAUACGUGGGGCGAAUUGCAGAACCCCGCGAACCAUCGAGUCUUUGAACGCAAGUUGCGCCCGAGGGCAGCCGGCCAGGGCACGCUCGCCUGGGCGUCAAGCGUCGCGUCGCUCCGUGCC
rnacentral:rRNA from 1 species